rnacentral:misc_RNA from 1 species
UCGCUGGGGAUGGUUCGUGGAAAGGAAGAGAACGAGUCGCUAAUGUUUGAUCAAUGCCGCGAUUCCAGACUUAUGUGUGCCAUGUGCAGAGUGGAGCUGCCAAGAGGUGUGAGCAAAACUAUCCCAGUUCUGGCACGAAAGCUGGAUUAAUGAUGUCGGAACAGGGAAGGAGAGGAUAGCCGGAGAAAUGGGUGCGAAAAUGUCUCGCCGUAAAGGGCGAAAGGCCGCUGCGGCCGCCGAAGAGGCCAGUACGGUCGAGGAGUUGGCCACUCCGCGUACGGACGAAGCUGACGUUGACCGGGUUGCGGGUGGCGGACGGGUUGACGGGGGUGAUGACUCGGCGGGGGGAAUUCCAGAACCGGAUCCGCCGGUUCUGGGGCAAAAUUUAACAGACUCUUGUUUUGACCAUUCCGAUGAACCGGCGGAUCCGGUUCCGGAAGCCCCGGUGGUAAUUGAAAUUCCUUUUCCUUUAAAUAACUCUUUGGACAAUACUGCGGCGGUUCCGAUUUCGGAACCGCCCGUGGAUCAAAAUUCUACUUUGAAUGAUUUGUCUAUUUCAGGGGGGAUCGAGGGCCAAAUCGAAGAGAUUACCGUUGCUCCGAUACCGGAUCCACCGGUCACGGAGCAAAAUUUAAACGAUUCUUUGGAAAAUUCCGAAAAACCGGUGGAUCCGGUUGAGGAAUCAACGGUAAUCGUUUCAGUUGAAUGUUCGGAGCCAACUGAGGUGGCUUCCAUUGUGGAACCGCCAGAACGUUACGUUCGCAAAAUUAGUUUGGAGGAAGUUCCGGAACAACCAAAUUUAAAGGUAUUCCCAAAUUCAAAAAAAAAUGUCCGUUUUUCAGAUGAAGCCCAGGUUCAGGAGUUUACAGUUGAGGCAUCCUCAAUCCCGACUUUUUACACGGUUCUGGUUAAAGAUUCCCCAGAAUCUGUUCCGGAACUUCCCAUUCUAAAUUCAAAACAAAUAAAAUAUUUUUGGUGUUACACCUGUCAAAAUUCUCGUACGAAUUCUUUGCCCUGGUUGCUGCGAUUGCGGUAUUCCAAAUUCUCGAUGUGGUUGCGCCAUUUGUUUUGUGGUUCGAUGUGUUGCGCGGUUAUUGGUUUGCUUGUUUUUGUUUGAAUUGUUUAAUGUUUCUUCUCGUUUCAUGAGCUGUUUCUUGUUAGGAGCGUUUUUCAGUUACUGAUGAUGAUGACGAUUGAUAACGAUGACGAUGAUGAUUAAAUGCGAUGAAUAUUGGAUGGAUUAGUAAGAUGCCGAAUUUCUGGACUGGACUGGACGAUACUGACGGAGCUGGGACGGAGAGGCCUUUGACUGGAGAUUUGUUAUUAUGAAUGAAAUGUAUUUUAUUUCUGUAUUCCAUUGUAUGAAAUAAAUGUAUGAAAACAUUGAA